UUUUUUUUUUUCGCUCUAUUGCAUCCCUGAAAGAAAGCUUGUAGCUCUUGCAAGCAAGGAGUUGACUAAUUUCAUUGUUAUGCAAUUUGUAAAUAAAAGAAUUCGUAUGGAAAUUUUUUUUUUCUUCUUUUAUGCUUGAAUUUAGUAUGAUUCCAUAAAAUUUUCUGCUCCUUGAAUGAAGUGCUUAGGUCUUUUCUUGGAUUUGUAUUUCUGCAUUGG
rnacentral:misc_RNA from 1 species